rnacentral:tRNA from 1 species
UGGCCCAGGUGGGCGGCGGCGCGCCGCGGCCGGACGCGCCGCUGGCGCUGAUCGGCCCCGGCACCGGGCUGG